rnacentral:rRNA from 1 species
UACGGAGGAUGCAAGCGUUAUCCGGAAUUAUUGGGCGUAAAGAGCUCGUAGGCGGUUUGUCGCGUCUGCUGUGAAAACUGGAGGCUCAACCUCCAGCCUGCAGUGGGUACGGGCAAACUAGAGUGCGGUAGGGGAGAUUGGAAUUCCUGGUGUAGCGGUGGAAUGCGCAGAUAUCAGGAGGAACACCGAUGGCGAAGGCAGAUCUCUGGGCCGUAACUGACGCUGAGGAGCGAAAGCAUGGGGAGCGAACAGG